AUUGAUUCUCUGCCUUUUGGCUCAGAUUAGUGUAGGAUCUGUUCUUAUCAGCUUAAAAUGGUGAUGAUGAUGGUGUCAUUUUAAUACAGUUAUGUCCAAACCUUUU
ensembl:snRNA U2 U2 spliceosomal RNA